AGAGAGUUUAACAGCCAAAACGUUACAGUAACCUCCUGUUGACACAGCCAGAGAUCUGCCUAAUUCAACAGCUAAAGAUCACAGAACCCAAAGCAAGAACAAAUCGCCCAAUACCAACAAAAAUAUUUCAUUAUCUCAACGCAGCAAAAAAGAAGGAAAAAAAGUCCAAAAAAGGAAGGCUCGAUCCCACGCCUAACAUAAGGAUAGCUAACACACCGUGACACAGCAAGGAUCAUAAACUUACAUGGAAAACAGCUACUAUAAAAGAUGGGUGAGAAUAAAAAGACUUUGGGUCUGUUCUCCACACAGUGAAGCAUCAGUACACGUCCAAUAGAAGCUCCACUCCUUUCUCCUCGUGUCAACUUGUCUGGCUGCCAAACUGACUUGAGCAACUACGACUGAUCUAUACCAAAGUUUUCACCACCCAUUUUCACUCCAUAUGGAAAAGGCUUCCUCAUCUUAACUGUGCUGGGGGAAAAAGAAAGAAGAAAAACUACUAACUGAAAAAAGGGAAGGAAAGUGAAUUUUAUACAAUCAAGGUAAAGAAAAAGAAAACAGCUCUCUUCUACAAGUAACUAUGCUAUCCAGCAGUUUCAAGAUAUGUAUGGCAACUUGUGGUAUCCACAGAGAGAAUUCUGCCAAUUUUAAAUGGAAUUUUUAUGGUAGGCGGGAUAUGUGGGACGAGCCUGAAAAGGAACCAAAAAGCUAUUCACGUAAGACCAUUCUUCAUCCUGUUAUGAAAGAAUAUGAUGUUGUAUAAAACUUUAUAACAGACUGCCUGGAGUACCUUAUCAUCCAACUGGACAAAUAGCAGCAAGUUUGAUGUCAUGGUUUAUUAUGGAUUAGAUUAACACUAAUUUAACCAACAAUGGCAUUGGCCUAAUAUUUCUUCCUCAGAUAAGCUACAACUGAUCUGUCAAAAAGUUACUACAGUCUUCAAAACAAUAAAGUCUGGGGGAAAAAACUAGGCAUUUUAAAAUAUUCAACUAACAAUCCAAUCUGCCUUGUCCAGUUAAGUGAAAUUUCAAAGUAGGUAUCUAAAACUUAAUCUUAAAAUCCAUUUUGUGUGAAGCAUUGAGAUUGUCAGGUAUAAAAGGUGCUAGAUUUUAAAAUACUCCAUUCCACUCUGUUUGUAUUAAAGGAAUGAUUCUUUGUUCAUUAAGGUAUUAGUUUUAUUCUGAAGGUUGAUUCAGUGUUUAAUAAAAUAUUGUAUAUGAUUAA